rnacentral:rRNA from 1 species
AACGAACGCUGGCGGCAGGCUUAACACAUGCAAGUCGAACGAGAUCUUCGGAUCUAGUGGCAGACGGGUGAGGAACACGUGGGAACAUCCCUUUCAGUUCGGAAUAACGUUGGGAAACUAACGCUAAUACCGGAUACGUCCUUCGGGAGAAAGAUUUAUCGCUGAAAGAUUGGCCCGCGUCUGAUUAGCUAGUUGGUGAGGUAAUGGCUCACCAAGGCUACGAUCAGUAGCUGAUCUGAGAGGAUGAUCAGACACAUUGGGACUGAGACACGGACCAAACUCCUACGGGAGGCAGCAGUGGGGAAUAUUGGACAAUGGGCGCAAGCCUGAUCCAGCCAUGCCGCGUGAGUGAUGAAGGCCUUCGGGUUGUAAAGCUCUUUUAUCCGGGAAGAUAAUGACUGUACCGGAAGAAUAAGCCCCGGCAAACUUCGUGCCAGCCGCCGCAGUAA